rnacentral:rRNA from 1 species
GACGAACGCUGGCGGCGCGCUUAACACAUGCAAGUCGAGCGAGAACCAGGGCUUCGGCUCUGGGGACAGCGGCGAACGGGUGAGUAACACGUGGGUAAUCUGCCCUCGGCACCGGAAUAGCCCGGGGAAACCCGGAUUAAUGCCGGAUGGCCCCUUCACCUCGCGAGGUGUCGGGAAAAGGUAGCUUCGGCCUCCGGCCGAGGAUGAGCCCGCGGCGGAUUAGCUUGUUGGCGGGGUAACGGCCCACCAAGGCAACGAUCCGUAGCUGGUCUGAGAGGACGAUCAGCCACACGGGGACGAGGACACGGCCCAGACUCCUACGGGAGGCAGCAGUGGGGAAUCUUGCGCAAUGGGCGAAAGCCUGACGCAGCGACGCCGCGUGAGGGAAGAAGGCCUUCGGGUUGUAAACCUCUUUCAGGAGGGACGAAGCCACUCGGGUGAAUAGCCCAGAGGGUGACGGUACCUCCAGAAGAAGCCCCGGCUAACUACGUGCCAGCAGCCGCGGUAACAC